UAGGGAAUCUUCCACAAUGGACGCAAGUCUGAUGGAGCAACGCCGCGUGAGUGAAGAAGGUUUUCGGCUCGUAAAACACUGUUGUAAGAGAAGAAUGACAUUGAGAGUAACUGUUCAAUGUGUGACGGUAUCUUACCAGAAAGCCACGGCUAACUACGUGCCAG
rnacentral:rRNA from 1 species